UAGCCAUUAAUUUGAGAAUCAGGCAUCGGUGGCACUUUGAGAUUGGGUUUUAUCGGGUGAUGUCAAUCAGGUUAACUAAAAUUUAGACAGGGUUUUGACGUUUGAACGUUGUAUUUGUGUUCUGAGAGUUAGGGGUUUGAUCCAACUGAUACUUUCUGAGACCCAUGAUUCUAGAUACUAUAUCUAUCUAGGCACUGCGAAGAUGUAUCAUGACUUGAGUC
rnacentral:lncRNA from 1 species